AACCUGCCCAAGAGAUCGGGAUAACACCUGGAAACAGAUGCUAAUACCGGAUAACAANAGAUGAUGCCUAUCAACUGUUUAAAAGAUGGUUCUGCUAUCACUCUUGGAUGGACCUGCGGUGCAUUAGCUAGUUGGUAGGGUAACGGCCUACCAAGGCGAUGAUGCAUAGCCGAGUUGAGAGACUGAUCGGCCACAUUGGGACUGAGACACGGCCCAAACUCCUACGGGAGGCAGCAGA
rnacentral:rRNA from 1 species